CACUCUCUGAGGUCCCAGUCCUGGCUGAGAGGAGGCAGAGGUCAGUUGGCAGCGCCCUCAGCACUAGGUCCCCAUACCCUGCCCAGCUGUCAUCCCUGGAGGAGCCAGGCGCCCAGGAUCCAGCUGGCCCUCAGGCCACCCAUACAGCGGGGGCAGGUCCUUCAGACUGUGUCUCAGGAAGACGGCCACCACCAUUAGGUCACAGAGGCAGGGACUGGGGAGAGAUUCACCGCCACCUCAAGGCCUGAGCCAAGGCCAGAAGGAGGCCUGGUGAGGGUUAUGGAGCCCUGCAGGACACAGCCCCCAGCUGGGCCCCCCAUCUCACCCACUGAUCCAAGGCCCCAAGAGAGAAGGCCAGGAUUCACCUCUUAGCUCAUUCUCAGUCUGACAACCACCACUCUGCCAACUGUUUGCUGAAUGGACCACUAACGGUCGCUCAUUGACAGUCGGUCACUUAGGGCAGGAGCCCACUGCAAUGCUGACCAAUGGCUGAGCAGGACCACUAACGGUCACUCAUUGACAGUUGGUCACUUGAGGGAGGGGCCCACUACGAUGCCAACUAGUAGCUGAACAUGAAUACUCACAGUCCCCUGGUAACCAUUGGCUGGUCAGAGAAACCUGGCUGGCUACAGUCCGUGGGGUCACAAAGAGUCCGACAUGACUGAGCACACACUCACAAGUGGAUGAGGACGGUGAGGCUCAGAGAGGAUGAUUUUCCAAGGUGCAGGGGGACAAUAAGGUGUGACUCAAAAAUAACACAAGAAUUGUGAAUGAAAUUUAGGCAGAGCCUUCAAAUCCUGCAGUCUUCAAUCACUUUAAAGGAUAGUACUGGCCUCCACUGUCUUGUCACAUUACUCAUCUAUCAUCUGCCAAAACCACUUCAUCACCUACAAACCAAGUAACCAGGCAAGAGAGAGGUCGGCGUGAACUUUCCCACAUCAAAAGUGAAUCAGGAAGUAGUUUCAAACUGAAGAUGGAGAAGCUCUAUACAGUCAGCAAAAACAAGACCAGAAGCUGACUAAGGCUCAGAUCAUCAGCUCCUCAUUGCAAAAUUCAGGCUCAAAUUGAAGAAAGUAAGGAAAACCACUAGGCCAUUCAGUUAUGACCUAAAUCCCUUAAGGUUAUAUACCAGAGAUUAGAGACCUCCCUCAUGUGCCUACAGCACAGACCUCUCCCACUUCCAUGACCACCCCGUCUGGCCAGCUAUCUUCUCUAAGCCAUGUUAUGAAGAGGCCAGUGUUCAGGAUUUCAGUCUAGCUGGAAAAGAAAUAAGAAACAGAGUCCAGCAGAGACCAAGGCAGAGUCCCAGAGCCCACCAUGAACACAAAGCACGCUGGCUGUAGUAGUUCAAACAGUAUUCAGACUGCCCAUAGUAGUUUGAACAGUGUUCCCCAAAAUUCACCGAGAAACAAAGGGCAAAAGGAGAAUAAGAAACUAGUAAGAGAGAUGGACCCCAUCAAUAACCAUGACGUUUGACUCUAGCAAAGCUCAUCUCAUAGUCACCAAACGUCCAAGCCUCCAGUGUCACUGAGUAAGAAAGUCUUUUUCAAUCAUAAAACUUCUUUGUAUUCUCCCUCUACUCCCAAAGACAAUAAUGGGAAAUAGUGCUGAGCAAAUGGAGACUUUUCUGUUGUUUUUUCAUCAGGUGCCACUGAAAGAUAAGAUUCAUGUUGCAAGGUACAUGUUGUAGGUAAUCCUCUGAACCAAACUGCAUGUCCACUUUCAGAGCCAACUGCUGCUCUUGAACUAGGAAGAUGAUACAGUGGGACCAUUACAUUCAUGGAUGCCAAACCCACAGAUAAGGAACCUGCCCAUAUGGAAGGCCAAUUGUAUCAUGGACAUCUUGAGCAUGCUCAGAUUUUAUUGUCCAUAGGAGGUCCUGGAACCAGUUCCCCUACAUAUACUGAGGGGCGACUAUUCAAAAAGGCACAGAGGAGAAUUCUACGGCAGAUAUGAAAAGGAGAUCAGAAGUGUGCUCUGCUCAGCUUUUCCCUUAAGGCCAGCAAUAAAAACAGAAGGCAUAUUUUCACAAACUUCCAUUUGUCCUGGUGCCUUUCCGGUAUCAUCCUGCCCAACUCUCUCGUUCCUUCCUCCAGGCUCACUAAAUACAACAGCAGACUGAGUGAGCUCCUAAUCCAGGCCAGCAGCCACAGAGCCAAGUGCUGAACACUCAGCAGGGAUAGGACAUACGUAGUAGCCCCUGCUUUCAGGAAAGCAGAUUGGUAAAAUGAACAAAAAUUUUGCACUAAUUAAUGAACCUGGUAACAUGCCGAGGAAGAAGACAGGAAGAAGGUGGUCAGCGUGUGUUUGACACAGCCUGACUCUUAGCCAGAGAGAAAACUGCUGAAAUCUCUUCCCAAGUCAGCUGCUGGUAUAUAUCCUGUAUCAACAUGAGGUGUUAUUUAUGUCUCCAUGAAUUUAAUUAACCUAUGAUUUCCACUGGUUCACUUCCUUUGUUUUCCAGUUGAGCGACUUAACAGACUGUUAGGAUCUUCCACAGCUUGCAAGGAAAGGGGACUGGCCUUUCCUUUUAGUUGAGCCUAAGGGUUUCUCCAGACUUAAGAUCCUAUUUUAGGAAAUACCUGAAGCAUCGAACUUAAAAACCAAAACCAGAAAGGGAGAAGAUUGUAAGAAAUAGACGGAGUCCUAGUUUCAACUAUGAAAAGAAAACAUUGUCAGUUCAAAAAAAUUGGAAGAAUAAGCCUUAGAUUUAAUAUAGAUUAUAAUGUCACCCUG
ensembl:lncRNA